rnacentral:rRNA from 1 species
UACGAAGGGGGCUAGCGUUGUUCGGAAUUACUGGGCGUAAAGCGCGCGUAGGCGGACCUGCAAGUCGGGGGUGAAAUCCUGGAGCUCAACUCCAGAACUGCCUUCGAUACUGGCGACCUUGAGUCCGGGAGAGGUGAGUGGAACUCCGAGUGUAGAGGUGAAAUUCGUAGAUAUUAGGAAGAACACCAGUGGCGAAGGCGGCUCACUGGCCCGGUACUGACGCUGAGGCGCGAAAGCUAGGGGAGCGAACAGG